rnacentral:lncRNA from 1 species
CAUUCUGAUCAGAGUGUAAAUUGCAUUUUUGUUGGAAAACUGGAAACACUAAAUGUAAAAUGAUAGGGCCCUGGUUGGAUGAGAUAUAUGGCUUUGCUCUUAUUCAAUAUACUGCAUUAUAUAGCCUUCAACAAUGACAAUAAAAUAAAGACUAGCAUUUGGGAUGGCUUGUCAGGUCCCUAUUUUACAGAUAAGGACUGAAGGUUAGGUAACCAGCUGGAGGGCUCAUGGCAUCAGUACCAUUGAGCUUUUUGUGGUAUUGUUUUUUGAGUCAGGUCUCAUGGAUCUCAGGCUGGAGUUGAACCCCUGAUCCUCUCUCCACCUCCCAAGGGCUAAGUUUAAGCUUUAAUAACUACAGAUAUUAUAUAAAAAGUAAAGCAAUAAAUUUAUAAGAAAUGUAUUUUGAGGGGUUGGAAUGAUGGCUCAGAGGUUAAGAGAACUUGAAUGCUCUUCCAGAGGUCCUGAGUUCAAUUUCCAGCAAUCACAUGGUGGCUCAUGACCAUUUAUAAUAAGAUCUGGCGCCCUCUUCUGGAAUGAAGGCAUACAGGCAUGCAGAACACUGUAUACAUAAUAAAUAAAUCUUAAAAAACUUAUUUAAAAAAUAAACAUACUUUGGAAGCUUAAUUAUCUAAAUUCUCUUAUAUUAACUAUGUUUUGUGAAUUUUGACUAACAGCCCUUUUUGUCAACCAGAGGGGGAAAAAAAGUUUAGAUAAGUAAGCUUUCAAAUGCUAUUUCUUUUGUUUUUCUGUGUAACCCAGGUUGGUCCACAACUCAGCAGGUUGGCCUCAGACUUGAAGCAAUCCUCCUGCCCCUGGCUCCUGAGUGCUGGGGUUACAGUCAUGUGGUACUUCAGUCAUCAGAUGGUAUUUCUGUGCCAGUGAUUGAACACAGUGCUUUGUGUAUGCCAGGCAAGCACUCUGCCCCUGAGCUACAAUUCUGGCUUGCCCUACUUCUUGGUGGACAAACAAG